ACGAUGCAACUCCUACAUUCCACAAGUGAAUAGUUGUAAACGGGUCAUACUUGCAGGGAGGUGCAAAUGGAACAGGUGACCCAAACUGACCAACGAGGUACUCUGUGCCACAUGCGUCAUACACGGUUUAAAGCCGGGAGGUCGCGGGGGCCUUGCUUUCUUCGUCCAUGGCCGGCGUCUGAAGAGGACCCUGCCCGUUGUCCUGCCUGCGAUCCCGAUCCUGGUUCCAGUCCGUGCAUUCCUGAAUCCAGUUCCCAUCUGCUAGAAUUCCAGUCCGGGAUUUCCGGGUGUCCGCCCUGCAGCCGCUGGCGCGACGCCAGCCCCCGCGAUUCCGUCAUCGGCGGGAGAUUCAAUGUUAGGAUAAAGUCUAUUUUUCACAUCCCUCACUCAAGGAAUCACAGCAGUUGGUAUUGCUGGGUUUUACUGAUCCCACAUCAGUCCCUACCCAACAUCUGAAUUCAUGGAUGGCAGUGGUACCCACAGCUCACCCUACAGCCAGGUGUGAUUUACCAUCCAGCGGUGCUUUACGCAUUGCACAGGCACAUACUACUGCAUGCACACAUGCCAUUUUCAGCACAGUUUUCCUUGUCUCAGUCAGGGUUCCACACAUGCUCCCCAUCCUGGGCACCCGGCUGGCUGUGCCCAAGGCCAGGAAGGAGCCCAGUGAGGCUCCUCAGCUGUAACUGGGAGCUACUUUCAAGCUGGGGCUUUCACUUCUGGCCCUAUGGCCACGCUGUGGCUGUGCCUGUGUCCCACCUGACAACCCUCCAUGCUGACCUUGACCCAUUGUCUUGCCUUCCCAGCUCUGCCUGUGACCUGCCUCGUCGCUGAGGACUUCUCCUGAAAACCUCGAAGCAUCAGAAAUCUGACACAAAAGUGCUGGGUGGCUGGACCCACCUACUGAGACACGUUAUUUUUGUUAAACAAGUAGAGUUGUGCAAAGCAUGCUGAAAGAUGCAGUUUCCAGGCAAGGGCAACAUCUGGCUUGUUUAAUCACCAUUUUAUCGGUGAUUUUAUUUGGUUUAGAGAGAAAAAAAAAAAAAGAAGAAAAUAAUCUAACAGUACUAGAAGUUUUUUCAUGCUCUUUGUAGACCAGUUCCAGAAAGCUGUGACAUUAUUUUUCAUGUUUGUUUGCUUGUACCAAAGUGAUGCUGAGAAUUAAAGUCUUUGAUUCCAGGCCAAGACCUGGAGGAGAAGAUG